rnacentral:lncRNA from 1 species
GCUGUCCUUAUAUACACACCGCUGUUCAUUGUGCUCUUAUGAUAUCCAUAUUGCUGGGUGUAAAAUUUAAAACCAUUUAUGUUACAGCCAUUAUAACAUGUCAUAUAUUUUAUUGGCCUAUAACCUAAUGGUCUUAACUUCUUAGGUAUGGAUUCGCCCCCUUGCAUGGCCUGCAUAUUAUAAAAAGAAUAUAUUGAAAAAAAUUAAAAUAUAUAAAAUGAUAAUAGUCACU